rnacentral:rRNA from 1 species
UACGGGGGGGGCAAGCGUUGUUCGGAAUUACUGGGCGUAAAGGGCUCGUAGGCGGCCAACUAAGUCGGAUGUGAAAUCCCCAGGCUCAACCUGGGAACUGCAUCCGAUACUGGAUGGCUUGAAUUCGGGAGAGGGAUGCAGAAUUCCAGGUGUAGCGGUGAAAUGCGUAGAUAUCUGGAGGAACACCGGUGGCAAAGGCGGCAUCCUGGACCGGCAUUGACGCUGAGGAGCGAAAGCCAGGGGAGCAAACGGG